UUACAGAGUUGCAAAACUCCAACAAACCAUCGCGAAUCUUACCCGUACGGUUGCCUCGGCGCUGGCGGUCCGGAAGGCCCUCGGGCCCCCGGAUCCUCGGGUCUCCCGCUCGCGGGAGGCUGCCCGCCGGAGUGCCGAAACCAAACUCUUGAUAUUUUAUGUCUCUCUGAGUAAACUUUUAAAUAAGUCAAAACUUUCAACAACGGAUCUCUUGGUUCUGGCAUCGAUGAAGAACGCAGCGAAAUGCGAUAAGUAGUGUGAAUUGCAGAAUUCAGUGAAUCAUCGAAUCUUUGAACGCACAUUGCGCCCUUUGGUAUUCCUUAGGGCAUGCCUGUUCGAGCGUCAUUUGAACCCUCAAGCUCAGCUUGGUGUUGGGUGUCUGUCCCCGCCCCGCGGGGACUCGCCUCAAAAACAUUGGCGGCCGGUACGUUGGCUUCGAGCGCAGCAGAAACGCGAACUCGGGGCCCGACGUAGCGGCGACCACAAGUCUAUUCAUCACUUUGACCUCGGAUCAGGUAGGGAUACCCGCUGAACUUAAGCAUAUCAAUAAGCGGAGGA
rnacentral:rRNA from 1 species